AUGCAGGGGGCAUUUUUUACAGAGCGUCACGGCCAUACCGAGCUGGUGGGAGAGCGCUGGUGACAUCUGGACUUUUGGUUAGAUGAGGCCCCGCAGGAUUACGCAGAGCCUUCUCGAAGUUGGUAAACUUGAUAAAACGCGCGGGGACCUCGAACUGGCCGAGUUACUGUUGUAACAUUUCGCUCUCAGCCUCGGGAAAAAGCGCAGCGCUUCCCGGCUCCACCAGGGGGCAGGAGAGGUCACAUUACACAGAUAGAAAAUUUUUUUUAAAAAUCCCCAAACUUUUCCCUAAAAUCUGUGUUCUUCCUCCUGAAACCGAAUCCUCCAGCUGCGGCGUCCCAGGCGCCCGCCCCUCGCCCGCCGCGUCUCCUGGCGUCCCUGCCCUCGCCCUGCGCUNUCCGCGCGCCUCCAGCCCGCGGUCCCCAGCGCCUCCGACCCGACCCCUCGCCCUGAAGAUGAAGAUUUGGUUGCUGCUGGGUCUUCUGCUGAUACAUGAAGCCCUGGAGGAUGGUGAGUGGCUCUGGGUGGGUGGCAUCCCUGCUUGUGCCCUGACUUUACCCCGGGUCCCCCAUCCCCCGUGGUCCUGCAGGUCUUCCUCCCGGCUCAGGAGUCACUCCCUGCCCCAUGCACCUGCCCCCGUCCUAGGAGGGUCCCCUUACCUCCCUCUCUCCACUCCCCUCGGAGCCCCUGGAACAGCGGUAGCUGCCCCGACCCCUUAGAAUCCCCAUCAGAACGUCUCCAGCGCUGCUGAAAAGCCCCGGGCAGCGGGCAAACUGAACAUCCCCGGGCAGCGCCUGGUCCAGCCCCCAGUGUCAACGUGUCGGUCUGGGAGGUGGCGCAGGGCGGCUGAUCGCUUGCAGCGCACGCGCGCCCGCGCGCAGCGUUCUCCCCGGGAUUUUCUGCUGGUGAGGCGGGGUGCCACCCAAGCUGAGCCUUUUGCAAAAAUCGAAGGGUCCUCCUCCCCCAUCUGCAGCCCUAGAUGUGUUUCCUAUACCAACAGGAGCUUAAAUCCUGCAAGACAUGCCUAAGUUUUACAACAGAUAUUUCUGGGUAUCAAACCUUUUCCCAAAUUUAUCAAAAACCCACAACUGUUACGCUUUUGAUCUGAUUGGAGGGGAGGCGAUGAAGCAAAUGGGUUUUUGGACAAUAUGGGGGUCCUUGUGCCGCUGCACUUUUUUGAAUGUGUGCCUGUUCUGAGCCCACCCUGUUGUGUAGACCCACAACUACAGGGCCAGACUGUCUGUGUGCAUUGCUGGGAACGGAACUGAUUUUUCUGUUUCUCCAUCUGUUAUCUAUGGUUCUGUUGGUAUUUAAUUGUUUGGGAAGCUCUGUUGUUUUUUCAUUGGAGUUACCUAUACAGUAUAUUUUGCAUCUGGUACAUCCUGGUGUCCUGAAAUUUCCUUUGGAAUUCUGCUCUGCAGUCACUAUUUUUGCUAGUUUGGAUUGAAAAGCAGCUUUUACGGUUAUGCAACCUUCGACUGGAGCCAGCUCACCCUAGCUCACAUUUUAUCCUCCACUCAGUCCAGACCAAUUCCUUUCUUUCCCCGUGACAGUAGAAACAUUUGCCAGAGAAUACCACACUUUGGUUUGCAUGUGUGGUUGCAAAAUGGUUGUGGACUUGAAAUUGAAUGUGAAGGUCCUUAAGCCUAGAGCCUGGCUGGAUAAAGAGUAGGCUGAGCUUCUCUGCGGGGGUGGGGCGGGGCG
ensembl:lncRNA